UAUUACUUAUUUUGUAUGUGAAUAUAUUUUUUUUAAUCAAAAAUGAUAUUCCUUAUAUUACAGGGAGUAAAGGUUUCGCUAUUAUCAUAGUUCUCCAUAAAGAAUUUUGGAAAAGCAUCUCUCAUCCUAGGGAUGAAAUCUAUAAAGAUAGAUCUAAGAGACUGCUUGGGUUAUCCCAGGCCAAUGUACAUAGAGUGUUUAUGAGUAAAAUUUAUUCUAUCAUGUAUACCAUGU
rnacentral:lncRNA from 1 species